rnacentral:tRNA from 1 species
AACAUAUAAAGGCCUUAUGUUACGGCCAUAAGAAUGGUAUAUUUAUACCGUAUGUUU